GACGAACGCUGGCGGCGUGCUUAACACAUGCAAGUCGAACGGUGAAGCUCCAGCUUGCUGGAGUGGAUCAGUGGCGAACGGGUGAGUAACACGUGAGCAACCUGCCCCUGACUCUGGAAUAAGCGCUGGAAACGGCGUCUAAUACUGGAUACGAGAAGGGUCCGCAUGGGCACUUUCUGGAAAGUUUUUCGGUUGGGGAUGGGCUCGCGGCCUAUCAGCUUGUUGGUGAGGUAAUGGCUCACCAAGGCGACGACGGGUAGCCGGCCUGAGAGGGCGACCGGCCACACUGGGACUGAGACACGGCCCAGACUCCUACGGGAGGCAGCAGUGCGGAAUAUUGCACAAUGGGCGAAAGCCUGAUGCAGCGACGCCGCGUGAGGGAUGACGGCCUUCGGGUUGUAAACCUCUUUCAGCAGGGAAGAAGCGAAAGUGACGGUACCUGCAGAAGAAGCACCGGCUAACUACGUG
rnacentral:rRNA from 1 species